rnacentral:rRNA from 1 species
AUACGGAGGGUGCGAGCGUUAUCCGGAAUCACUGGGUUUAAAGGGUGCGUAGGCGGCCACAAUAGUCAGUAGUGAAAGGUUGCAGCUUAACUGUAAGACUGCUAUUGAAACUGUGUGGCUUGAAUCAAGAUGAGGUAGGCGGAAUGUGACAUGUAGCGGUGAAAUGCUUAGAUAUGUCAUAGAACACCAAUUGCGUAGGCAGCUUACUAGACUUGAAUUGACGCUGAGGCACGAAAGCGUGGGGAGCGAACAGGAUUAGAAACCCGUGUAGUCC